rnacentral:rRNA from 1 species
UACGUAGGGCGCAAGCGUUAUCCGGAAUUAUUGGGCGUAAAGAGCUCGUAGGCGGUUUGUCGCGUCUGCCGUGAAAGUCCGGGGCUUAACUCCGGAUCUGCGGUGGGUACGGGCAGACUUGAGUGAUGUAGGGGAGACUGGAAUUCCUGUUGUAGCGGUGAAAUGCGCAGAUAUCAGGAGGAACACCGAUGGCGAAGGCAGGUCUCUGGGCAUUAACUGACGCUGAGGAGCGAAAGCAUGGGGAGCGAACAGG